GAUUAGGUGUCUCUCGGGCUGACUUUUGAAGGUCUGGAGCUGGCCGUUUAUGAGGGUUUAUAAGGGUUUUAAGCGCUCCGGCCAUGGGCACCAACCCGAUCUUCCAGCCCCUGCGGACGGACUGCCCCCCCCCCGCCCCGGGGGGAUUGGCUGCUCUGGGACCCCGAGCCCAGAGGGCAGUGAGAAGCUGACAAACCUUAAAUACAGACCAGAAGAGGAGUUUGGGGCUUGACACCUGACAUCUUAACACCAGUUCCUGUUUCUUGAGGAAGGAAGAGGUAAAAUAAAUCAGCGUUUACUGUGUAGUUCUCCAUCCCCAGAAGUCCUGAUGAAGACCCUCUCAGCUUCUACUUGAACGUGAAUAUGAGCAACUGAUCAUCUGUUCUGAAGUCAGCCCCUGGCCUGAUUCUGACUCAUGGUAUUGACCUUCUCCAUCAUCACCUUCCACAAAUUUGAUUCCUAUCUAUUCUGCCUGGAAUGGUUCACGAGUAUAAUCACCAUUUAUGUUCCUGACGAAAGCAGGUGAAGACAUUCGUUGAGAGAGGCAAUUUCCAUGCGUGCAGGCAAAGUGUGUGCUGAGAUGAUGAGUUGCUGGAGACCAGGGUGGACUCUUCAGACCCAGAAUAGGCCUCUGGCAGGCAUUCUAUCAGGCACUCCAAGCUGUGAAGUGCAUGGGGGGAGAAAGAAGAGAUUUCAGAGAAUGAACACAUACAGAGAGAGAGGCAAGAGAUGGUGAGUGGGGAUGUCUUGCAUACUGAUAUCCUGAGGAAAGUGGGAAAAUUGGACCCUGGCUUGCUCUGCCAAUGCCGUGAAGCAGUCCGCACCAGGGGCUCCCUUGUGCCUGCAUAGCCUUUCCCAGGGUGUGCUCAAAUCCUUUGGCCACUAGGUGUCCUAGGUCACAAUGGAGGACCCUGUGUCAUCUGCCUGGUGGACUGGAUCUCUGCCAUUGGCUAAGUCUUGUCACCAGGCCCAUCAUAAGCUCUGCCCACUCUUCCGGUGGGGAGACUCUCUCCAUGGUGAUGGCAAAGAAACCUUAGUCCCGCCCACCUGGCCUUGACUUCACCUACCUGGCCUGCUGACCCUCACCCAGACCUCUGUGUGGAUGAAAAUGAAUGUCCACCAGUGGCCCAGUGUCAGCGUCUGGUAUAAAGGAUUCGGGACGUUUCCUGAGGCAGAAGGCAGCCUACGUCUGCGGGUACCUGGAAGUCUAGUGACUUGUGAUGCUGCUGCCAGUGAGAAAUGGUGACUCCCACACUCACAUAUCCCCUGGUGGCAGAAUGAUAGUGAUGGGUGGAGAAACAUGGCUCCGGAGCACAUGUUCAGUGGGGCACCGGCCAAAUGUCAGGGCCAGGAGUGGACGUCGUGGAGCUGCAUGGCGUGCCAGUGAAGGGCCCAAGGAUUUCUCCAAUGAGGCAAAAUGCAGAUCAAGCCAAGGAACACAAAGAUAAAGCAGCUGAAGAAAUUAAAAAGGUUACUCAAGAACAUAGUUAAAAAUUUAAUAAGCUGCAAGAAACCAUAGAGAGACUGCAAUCAGAGAUUCAGAAGAUUAACAAUAAAAUUACAGAGUCAGAAAACUCAAUAGAAAGUAAUAAGAGCACAAUUGAGGAAUUGGAAGGCAGAAUUACUGAGAUGGAAGAUCAAACUCUUGGGACUAAUAUAUUUGAAGAGAAAGCAGAUAAAAGAAUUUUAAAUGAAGAAAUCCAAAGAAUCAUGUGGGACUUUAUCAAGAGAAAUAACUAUGAGUGAUUUCAGUACCAGAACAGGGAGGGCUAACAGAAAAUACAGAGGGAACUGUUGAAGAUUUGUUGGCAGAACUUCCCUGAUAUCAUGAAAGAUGCUCAUCGAAUUCCACAUACGGUAGAUCUCAAAAGAAAGUGACCGAGACACAUAAUAAUCAAACUUGCCAAAAUCAAAUAUAAAGAGAAUUUUAAGAGAGGCUAGGGAUAAAGGAAGUCACCAACAAAGGAGAGUAAAUAAUAAAAAACUUGGACUACUCAGCAGAAAUCAUGCAGGCAAGAAGGCAAAGGGAUGACUUACACAAAAUAUUGAAGGAAAAAAAUUGCCAGCCAGGAAUCAAACCAUAACCCUGGCCCUCUGGCCUUCGGGCCCUCUGGCCUUAGCCCUCUAACUCUAGCCCCUAAGCCCUGAGCCCCAAAGCCCCUAAGACCCUAAGCCCUUAGGUCCUAACCCCCAAGGCCCUAAACUCUAACCCUAACCCAAACCCUAACCCCUAUUCCCUAAACUCUACAACCUAAACACCUACACCCCAAAACACUACACAUCAAAACCCUACACACUAAACCCUAUACUCUAAGCCUCAAACCCUAAACCCAAACCUCAAAUCCCAAACCCCAAACCCUAAACCUAACCGUAAACCCUAAACCCUAACACCUAACCCUAACCCCUAACCACCCUAACCCUAAUGACCCUAACCCUCGAACCCUAACCCUCUAACGCUAACAUGAAACCCUAAUCCGAAACCCUAACCCUCUAACUCUAACCUCUAACCCUAACCCUCUAACCCUAGCCCUAAUCCUAACCCCAACCUCCAAACCUAACCCCAAACCCUAAACCUCAAAUCCCUAGCCCUAAACCUAAGAAUGAGCCUAAGCCUAACCCUAUCACUUAACUCUAAACCCUAAACCAUAACACUUAAAACCCUAACACCCUUAGCCCUAACACAUUUAACCCUAACACCCUAAACGCCAAAACCCUAAACACUAACACCCUUAACUCCAACCCCUAACCCCUAAACCCUAAGCUUAAACACUAAACCGUCUAACCCUCUAACCCUAAUACCCUAAACCCUAACCCCAGCCCCCAGCCUUAACGCUCACUCUAAGCCUUAAACCUUAAGCCCUAAACCCUAGGCUCUAAGCCCUAAGCCCUAAACUCUAAAUCCUAAAACCCUAAACUCUAAGCCCUAAGCCUAACCCUCUAAUCCUAAACCCUAAAACCUUACCCCAAACCCAUCCCAAACCCCUAAACCUGAACCCCUAAGCCCUAGCCCUAACCCUAAUCCUCUAAGCCUAACCCUCUAACCCUAACUCUCUAACCCUAACCACAACACCAACCCCAACCUCUGAACCCAAAAACCCUAACCCCCUAACCCCAAGCUUCUGAACCCUAAGCCUAAACCCUCUAACCCUAAAUCCUAACCUUCACCCCCUCACACCCUCACCUUCUCACUCCCUCACUCUAUAAUCUUCUCAACUUCUAACCCCCUCACCCUCUAACCCCUCACCCUCUAACUCCCUCAAUCUCUAACCCCCAACCCUCUAGACCCCAACCCUCUAACACCCACCCUCUAACCCCAAACCACAUAUCCCAAACAGACCCAACACCAACCCCAACCCUAAACCUAAACCCUGACCCCUAAAACCUAAACCAAACCCUAACGACUAAACCCCAAAACCCUAAACCCCAAACUGCAACCCCUAACACCUAACCUUAACUCCAAACUCUAACCUCAAACCCUAAACCUAACCCUAACACCUAACCCCAACCAAAAAACCCUAACCCUAAACUCUAACCCCAAACCCUAACGACCCUAACUCUAACAACCCUAACCUUAACAUCCCUAAGCCCAAACCCUAACCCUUUUUGUUAGCAGCCAUAGCACUUAACCACUAGCCACCAGGGUUUCCAUGAGCAGUCACAGGAAUAGACACAUGCACACCCGUGUUCACUGCAACAUUAUUCACAGUUGCAAAAAGAUGGAAACAACCUAAGUGCUCGUCCACAGAGGAAUGGAUAAACAAACUACGGUACAUACACAGUGGAACACUACACGACAAUAAAGACCAAUGAUGAAUCUCCGAAACAUCUCACACCAUGGAUGAAUCUGGGGCGCAUCACACUAAGUCAAUCACAAAACGUCAUAUACAGUAAGAGACCACUAUCAUAAAAACUCAUGAAAACAUUUACGCACAGAAACAAUCCUUGAUGUUCACCAGGGAGACGAAGAGCGGGUAGAGAAAAGCCAACUAAACAAUAACCAAAAAAACCAAACCCACUGCUGUCGAGUUGAUUCCAGCUCAUAGCGACCCUACAGGACAGAUUAGAACUGCCCCCAUAGAGUUUCCAAGGAGUGCUUGGUGGAUUCGAACUGCAGACCUUUGGUUAGCACCGGUGGCUCUUAACCACUACGCCACCAGGGUUUCCAACCAAACAACAGAUCGGUGGUAACUCUGGCGAAGGAAAGACGGUACACAAGACUGGGGAAUCAAUCUCAGCCUCACUCUAACCCUAACCCUAAACCACUUGUGCCCGAGCCUAGUAACCCCAGCCCUAACCCCAACCCCCAACCACCUAAAACCUGUACCCCUAAACCUAACUCCCAAACCUCUAACCCCCAAACCUGGACCCCUAACACCAAACCCUAACCCCUAACCCUAAUCCUCUAACCCUUCUGCAUCUCUGGGCCUCUCGACUCUCCGUCUAUUUUCUUCCUCCAAAUCCUACUAACACUCAGUGGAAUUUUGAAGUUUGAGCUGUGCUUUGCUUCUUGUUGUCUCCACCGGUCCCAUCAAGGCACUGCAUCAUUUGCUCUGCUUCACUAUUCAGUUCCAAAACCAUGGCUUAGAAUCGCCUGACACUGGACUUCAGCGAUUCGGUGCAAGGCCGCGAGAGGGCGCGCGCACCGCCGGUUCUGUUCUGCCCACCAGGCCCUCUGAGCAUGGGAACCUCCUGGACCUAAGCCCGGACGACCUGGGUACCGCUCCAGUGGCGACAGCAGAAGCUUUUCUUCCCGAGGGACCCAACGCCCCAGGGCGCUCUCUCAAUACUCCCGUUAAUGCUAUGAUUAUCCUAACCCACUCCUUCUGUGCGACCUAGUGGGUCCUCUACCAGGUCCAGCCUUCACGACCCGCACCCCCCUGCCGUGGUCAUGUACAGGAACCUGCAGGGCCGCGCCCUCCCCGCCCAAGCUCUGCCCCUCCAUACCCUGAUGCCCUGCAGGCCUCUACUAGGUACCCGCCCAGGGGAGAGUUGUCGCCCCGCACGGGUCGGGGGACACGAGGGAACAUUCGGAAACCACCCCCAGGCACGAAGCCGACUGCCGGAUUGCCGGUAUUGAGACCAUGUGAGCAGGGCUGCCCCGCCAACUGGAGCCUGCAGGACAUCACUCACGUUUGUCAGCUUCUCACCGCCCUCUGG